rnacentral:lncRNA from 1 species
CUUGGGAGGAAGCAGGCAUAGGGCUGAUGCAUCGCAGUGUCCACAUAUGCAGGGAGGCUGGUUUCCUAGGAAGCCUCCCAAUGAGGAAAUUGUUGGGAAUGUGCUGCAAGGCGCUGCCUCGCUCUGGAGCCAGACGAGAGGCCGGAGCAUCCGCCCCAACAUGGCUGGCUGUGUGAGCCUCAGGAACGCUGGCAGCUCUGCAAGACUCUCUGCCAUCUGCAAAAUAGGAGGAAAAUGAGCUGCAGAAGGAUCAAAUGACCUGCCUGAGGUGCCCUAUCUGUUGGCACAGGCCAGAGCACAUGGUGGAUGCAGGGGCACCCCCUUCCCUUCUCCUCCCCUCCGGCUCUUUGCUGACAGGAUUCUCUCUUGCCUUCUCUGAUGGUACCUGUGCUACGUGCCACAUCCUUUCCCUCAAUGAAUUUCAGGCAGUGGAAGGGGCCGCAGAAGUUCCUUGACUCAUGAGGCGAGGCAUUCAGCGGCCUCGUGACACCUCCCAGGAUCUGCAGUCAUUGGGCUGCACUUGCCAAUAGCAACACCUGGCAAAAAUAGCUAAGAAGCAGAGCGGCCUGGGCUCAGGAGCUGAGCAACCCCUGACUGGCCAGAUGGAGACUGUGUUGAGCUCUGCCCAAGCCCUGUGAUCCUGGAAAACAGUGAAGUUAAGGAGCCAUCUGCAUUCUAGGGAAUGGCCCACUGCAAAAAAUAGCCUUCCUUAUAGGACGUAGAGGACUCAUGAUGUCCCCUCAUUUAUGAUGAGCCAACACACAGCCCUUCCAAAUUCCGAUUCUUUGCUUCAUAACUGAUGAGCUGUUUUGUUCCCACUGGUCAAUCGGAACAACAUUCUUGCUAACCAGAUUUUGGUUCAGCUCUUCUCCCUCCCCAUGUACCUGCCCUGUGUCCUGUCCUCAUCCUGAGCCAGCACACACCCCUCCUUAGUAGCUCCUCCUGCAGCAGGCUGACCUCGGACUCUCCCUGAUCCAUUGUCCAAAUAUAUCACCCUUUCACCCUACAUCCUCACACCCCAUUCUUUCUAGUUUUGUUCAUUCCUCCCUGUGAAAGAUGAACCCUCUUUGCCUAACCCCGGACCUGCUUGCAGACUGCUAUGAUGGCCAGAGUGUCCCCCCUACUGCAAGAGUCCCUUCUGUCCCUUGCAACAUCUUUUAAAUAAAAUCUCUCUUUACCAAGCCUGG